rnacentral:pre_miRNA from 1 species
CUUCUACUCCCUCCGUUCGGAAUUACUUGUCGCAGAAAUGGAUGUAUCUAGACGUAUUUUAGUUCUGGAUACAUCCAUUUCCGAGACAAGUAAUUCCGAACGGAGGGAGUACUUA